CCUACGGGAGGCAGCAGUAGGGAAUCUUCCACAAUGGACGAAAGUCUGAUGGAGCAACGCCGCGUGAGUGAUGAAGGUUUUCGGAUCGUAAAACUCUGUUGUAAGGGAAGAACACGUACGAGAGGAAAUGCUCGUACCUUGACGGUACCUUACGAGAAAGCCACGGCUAACUACGUGCCAGCAGCCGCGGUAAUACGUAGGUGGCAAGCGUUGUCCGGAAUUAUUGGGCGUAAAGCGCGCGCAGGCGGCCUUUUAAGUCUGAUGUGAAAGCCCCCGGCUCAACCGGGGAGGGCCAUUGGAAACUGGAAGGCUUGAGUACAGAAGAGAAGAGUGGAAUUCCACGUGUAGCGGUGAAAUGCGUAGAGAUGUGGAGGAACACCAGUGGCGAAGGCGACUCUUUGGUCUGUAACUGACGCUGAGGCGCGAAAGCGUGGGGAGCAAACAGGAUUAGAUACCCUAGUAGUC
rnacentral:rRNA from 1 species